rnacentral:rRNA from 1 species
GAUGAACGCUGGCGGCGUGCCUAAUACAUGCAAGUCGAGCGAACAGACGAGGAGCUUGCUCCUCUGACGUUAGCGGCGGACGGGUGAGUAACACGUGGAUAACCUACCUAUAAGACUGGGAUAACUUCGGGAAACCGGAGCUAAUACCGGAUAAUAUAUUGAACCGCAUGGUUCAAUAGUGAAAGACGGUUUUGCCGUCACUUAUAGAUGGAUCCGCGCCGCAUUAGCUAGUUGGUAAGGUAACGGCUUACCAAGGCAACGAUGCGUAGCCGACCUGAGAGGGUGAUCGGCCACACUGGAACUGAGACACGGUCCAGACUCCUACGGGAGGCAGCAGUAGGGAAUCUUCCGCAAUGGGCGAAAGCUUGACGGAGCAACGCCGCGUGAGUGAUGAAGGUCUUCGGAUCGUAAAACGCUGUUAUUAGGGAAGAACAAAUGUGUAAGUAACUAUGCACGUCUUGACGGUACCUAAUCAGAAAGCCACGGCUAACUACGU